GCCCGCAUAGUAUAAAGGCUAUUACAGUUGAUUUGUAAUCAUCGGAUGGGAGUUCGAUUCUCUCUGUGGGCU
rnacentral:tRNA from 1 species